rnacentral:rRNA from 1 species
AUUGAACGCUGGCGGCAUGCUUUACACAUGCAAGUCGAACGGCAGCGGGGAGGAGCUUGCUUCUCUGCCGGCGAGUGGCGAACGGGUGAGUAAUACAUCGGAACGUGUCGAGAAGAGGGGGAUAACCACCCGAAAGGGUGGCUAAUACCGCAUAAAUUCUGAGGAAGAAAGCUGGGGACCUAGGAAUAGGCCAAGCGCUUUUUGAGCGGCCGAUGUCGGAUUAGCUAGUUGGUGAGGUAAAGGCUCACCAAGGCGAAGAUCUGUAGCGGGUCUGAGAGGAUGAUCCGCCACACUGGGACUGAGACACGGCCCAGACUCCUACGGGAGGCAGCAGUGGGGAAUUUUGGACAAUGGGGGCAACCCUGAUCCAGCCAUGCCGCGUGUAUGAAGAAGGCCUUAGGGUUGUAAAGUACUUUUGUUAGGGAAGAAAAGUCAGCUGUGAAUAAUGGCUGAUACUGACGGUACCUAAAGAAUAAGCACCGGCUAACUACGUG